rnacentral:rRNA from 1 species
UACGGAGGGUGCGAGCGUUGUCCGGAAUCACUGGGCGUAAAGGGUGCGUAGGCGGCCUGACAAGUCUGAUGUGAAAUCCCUGGGCUCAACCCAGGGCCUGCAUCGGAAACUGUCGGGCUUGAGUAUGGGAGAGGUGAGUGGAAUUUCCGGUGUAGCGGUGAAAUGCGUAGAUAUCGGAAGGAACACCUGUGGCGAAAGCGGCUCACUGGACCAUUACUGACGCUGAGGCACGAAAGCGUGGGGAGCAAACAGG